rnacentral:rRNA from 1 species
UACGUAGGGUCCAAGCGUUAUCCGGAAUCACUGGGCGUAAAGCGUGCGUAGGCGGCGUGUUAAGUGUGAUGUUAAAUCGUGGGGCUCAACCCUGUCGGUGCAUCACAUACUGGCAUGCUAGAGGAAGGCAGAGGCAAGUGGAAUUUGUAGUGUAGCAGUGAAAUGCGUAGAUAUUACAAGGAACACCAAUGGCGAAGGCAGCUUGCUGGGCCUUUUCUGACGCUGAGGUACGAAAGCGUGGGGAGCAAACAGG